rnacentral:rRNA from 1 species
AGCGAACGCUGGCGGCAGGCCUGACACAUGCAAGUCGAGCGCCGUAGCAAUACGGAGCGGCAGACGGGAGAGUAACACGUGGGAACGUGCCCUUUGGUUCGGAACAACCCAGGGAAACUUGGGCUAAUACCGGAUAAGCCCUUACGGGGAAAGAUUUAUCGCCGAAGGAUCGGCCCGCGUCUGAUUAGCUAGUUGGUGGGGUAACGGCCCACCAAGGCGACGAUCAGUAGCUGGUCGGAGAGGAUGAUCAGCCUCACUGGGACUGAGACACGGACCAGACUCCUACGGGAGGCAGCAGUGGGGAAUAUUGGACAAUGGGCGCAAGCCUGAUCCAGCCAUGCCGCGUGGGUGAUGAAGGCCCUAGGGUUGUAAAGCCCUUUCGGCGGGGAAGAUAAUGACGGUACCCGCAGAAGAAGCCCCGGCUAACUUCGUGCCAGCCGCCGCGGUAAAAC